rnacentral:rRNA from 1 species
AGAGUUUGAUCCUGGCUCAGGAUGAACGCUAGCUACAGGCUUAACACAUGCAAGUCGAGGGGUAACGACAGCGAAAGCUUGCUUUUGCUGGGCGACGACCGGCGCACGGGUGAGUAACGCGUAUCCAACCUGCCCAUAACUAAGGGAUAAUCCGUAGAAAUGCGGUCUAAUACCUUAUGUGUUCCGACGAAGACAUCUGAAUUGGAAUAAAGAUUUAUCGGUUAUGGAUGGGGAUGCGUCUGAUUAGAUUGUUGGCGGGGCAACGGCCCACCAAGUCUACGAUCAGUAGGGGUUCUGAGAGGAAGGUCCCCCACAUUGGAACUGAGACACGGUCCAAACUCCUACGGGAGGCAGCAGUGAGGAAUAUUGGUCAAUGGGCGAGAGCCUGAACCAGCCAAGUAGCGUGCAGGACGACGGCCCUAUGGGUUGUAAACUGCUUUUGUAUGGGAAUAAAGUGCUCCACGUGUGGAGUUUUGUAGGUACCAUACGAAUAAGGACCGGCUAAUUCCGUGCCAGCAGCCGCGGUAAUACGGAAGGUCCGGGCGUUAUCCGGAUUUAUUGGGUUUAAAGGGAGCGUAGGCCGUGGAUUAAGUGUGUUGUGAAAUGUAGGCGCUCAACGUCUGACUUGCAGCGCAUACUGGUCCACUUGAGUGCGCGCAACGCGGGCGGAAUUUGUCGUGUAGCGGUGAAAUGCUUAGAUAUGACGAAGAACCCCGAUUGCGAAGGCAGCUCGCGGGAGCGCAACUGACGCUGAAGCUCGAAAGUGCGGGUAUCGAACAGGAUUAGAUACCCUGGUAGUCCGCACGGUAAACGAUGGAUGCCCGCUUUUCGGUCAUUAGACCGUGAGGCCAAGUGAAAACAUUAAGCAUCCCACCUGGGGAGUACGCCGGCAACGGUGAAACUCAAAGGAAUUGACGGGGGCCCG